GUGAGUGAUUACAGUUACGUAGCCCAUGCGCUUAGACCAAGAUCGUGAAUAGUGAUUUGUGAGAUUUUUUACCACAUAACCAAAACUCCGUGAUUGUGUCGAAAACUACAGUUCAGCUGAGGGAGCAUUGUCAACAGAAGGAAGAGUGUCUUGGCAUGUUUGAUAUUAGCAGGAACUGUACUACUUCAAUACUAUAAUUUUGCUCCAAAUGUCGAUGUUCUGCUCAUAUUUUCAGGUAGUUUGGUAUAACCCUCACAUUGCAGCUGUUAGAAUAUACCCAAGGCUGUCAAUAUUGCUGUAUGUUGCCGCUGCCUGUAUGUCAUUGCUGUAUAUGAGUUGCCUUAUGUGUUGCUCAGUAUGUGUUAGUUAGCAUAUCUAUAUAUAGUAUAUAUCGGGCGCCAGUGAAGAUUUUACCGCGUGUUUAAAUAAAUUGUUUUGUAUUGUAUUCUGUUGUAUUACACUGGGUCAUCUUCUUGUUAUAGAGAGUAUUGAAAUACAAAAAAUUGGAUCGUUAAACUGCAAGACAGCUCUGCACAAUUAACAUAUAUCGCGGCAGCUUUUAUAUAUCUGUACUUCAAAUUCAUAACUCUCCCAUUGACUCUCCAUACAGAUAAAAAGUCAGUCUUCAAUUUGCAGCGGCCCGCUGAGAAAGCUGUCUUCUCUAUUUAACGUGAUAAAUUAAGUUGUUGGCACUAAUUUCAACCAUGCACGGUCAACGCUCAAGCAUGAAGCCCAGUGUUAAGUUGUCACAACUCUUCUUAAUCGUCAUUUUCUUUCUUUCUCGGAUUUAGUUUGGGCUUUCUCUUGAACAAAGACUUUGGUCUUGAAUGAAGAAAAUAUAGGAAUCACUAUUUUUUCAUGAAUUUAUAUGGAGAUUCUAAUGUUACCAAGUUCAGUAUAUGCGAAGUCUAUAUUAUAAUGAAGAAGAGUGAAAUCACUUUCACUUAUUUUUAUCAAAACAACUUUAUUAUACAAGAUACUAAAAAGAAACUGGACUUGUAUAUACAGCUCACAAACAACAACAUCGAGCUCAUAGUGAUCAAAGCCAAAGGCGGAUACAUGCAGUAUAGUCUACAGAAUUAAAUAUUACAGACAACAUGACAACAACUGCAGAAAUAUAGAUUACAGAAAAUAGAAGUAAAAGAAGUAUAGUAUAAACUUAUACUGAGAGCA